GAAUUUUGGACAAUGGGCGCAAGCCUGAUCCAGCCAUUCCGCGUGCAGGAUGAAGGCCCUCGGGUUGUAAACUGCUUUUGUACGGAACGAAACGGCCUGGGUUAAUACCUUGCUGUUUUUACGUUACCGACAGAAUAAGCACCGGCUAACUUCGUGCCAGCAGCCGCGGUAAUACGAAGGGUGCGAGCGUUAAUCGGAAUUACUGGGCGUAAAGCGUGCGCAGGCGGUUAUGCAAGACAGAUGUGAAAUCCCCGGGCUCAACCUGGGAACUGCAUUAGUGACUGCAUAGCUAGAGUGCGGCAGAGGGGGAUGGAAUUCCGCGUGUAGCAGUGAAAUGCGUAGAUAUGCGGAGGAACACCGAUGGCGAAGGCAAUCCCCUGGGCCUGCACUGACGCUCAUGCACGAAAGCGUGGGGAGCAAAC
rnacentral:rRNA from 1 species